AGAAUCAACGCUGGCGGCGUGCCUAACACAUGCAAGUCGCACGAGAAAGGGGCUUCGGCCCUGAGUAAAGUGGCGUACGGGUGAGUAACACGUGACUAACCUACCCUCGAGUGGGGAAUAACCUAGAGAAAAUCUGGACUAAUACCGCAUAACACUCAUGAGUUAAAGCAGCAAUGCGCUUGAGGAGGGGGUCGCGGCAGAUUAGCUAGUUGGUGAGGUAAUGGCUCACCAAGGCGAUGAUCUGUAUCCGGCCUGAGAGGGCGCACGGACACACUGGAACUGAAACACGGUCCAGACUCCUACGGGAGGCAGCAGUGGGGAAUUUUGCGCAAUGGGGAAACCUGACGCAGCAACGCCGCGUGGAGGAUGAAAUCCCUUGGGAUGUAAACUCCUUUCGAUAGGGAAGAUAAUGACGGUACCUAUAGAAGAAGCCCGGCUAACUUCGUGCCAGCAGCCGC
rnacentral:rRNA from 1 species